rnacentral:lncRNA from 1 species
AUCCUGCAGGCUUUCAACCUUGACCAGAGGUUUUCAUAAUGAAUGCAGCAUCCCUGGGGAGUGAUCUGAAGCUGGCGAGGCAAUGAGAACACCCUGGCAGGGCAGCUGAGCUGGGUGGAUCCUUGUUCUGUCACCAAGCCUUUAAGUCAUAUGCUGACAUGUUACAGUCCUGCCUGGGACCCUGCCCACAAAUACUUAAGAUACACGACUUUGGGAAUCACCCAACUGAUGGAAAGAACCAGGAAAGGGGUCAGGAUCUGCACCUUGGCAAACUUUGAAGAACACCCAAUUUGAUGAAUGAAAACUCCUCACUUGUGCUCUGGUGGUGUUUUAGGACAAUGGGCCCCUCCUGGCAGACUAUCAAACCUAGACAGAAUUUUCUGACCACCUGAAAGAGACCACAAGAUCCUCAUUCAAGAGGUGCCUUCAGGCCGGGUGCAGUGGCUCAUGCCUGUAAUCCCAGCGCUUUGGGAGGCCGAGGUGGGCAGAUCAUGAGGUCAGGAGAUCGAGACCAUCCUGG